AGCGUAGACGGUUCUGCAAGUCUGGUGUGAAAGCCCGGGGCUCAACCCCGGGACUGCAUUGGAAACUGUGGAACUAGAGUGCAGGAGAGGUAAGUGGAAUUCCUAGUGUAGCGGUGAAAUGCGUAGAUAUUAGGAGGAACACCAGUGGCGAAGGCGGCUUACUGGACUGUAACUGACGUUGAGGCUCGAAAGCGUGGGGAGCAAACA
rnacentral:rRNA from 1 species